rnacentral:tmRNA from 1 species
GGGGGCGCACCGGUUUCGACUGGUUUCGCCUGACUCGAGGUCGCGUGUCGGGGAUCCUGGGUGAUCCCGUAAAUCCAUCCCGGGAAGGCAACUUUACUUGCCAACAACUUUGCUUUCGCCGCCUAGAUACUAGGUAGCCGUCCCCACGCGGAGUGCCCGCGGCCGCGUGGAGACGUACACAGUGGGCUGGCUGGAGCGACUCUGCACUGCGGUCGCCCGGCGAGACUAAAGCAGCGCUGGUCCAAAGGCAGCCUGUCCCUGGGCGGCCCCCGGACGAGAACCAAAUCAAGGACUACACACGUAGACACCUGGUGCGCAGAGACUCCAGGACGCGGGUUCGACUCCCGCCGCCUCCACCA